GACGAACGCUGGCGGCGUGCCUAAUACAUGCAAGUAGAACGCACAGUUUAUACCGUAGCUUGCUACACCAUAGACUGUGAGCUGCGAACGGGUGAGUAACGCGUAGGUAACCUGCCUGGUAGCGGGGGAUAACUAUUGGAAACGAUAGCUAAUACCGCAUAAUAUUAAUUAUUGCAUGAUAAUUAAUUGAAAGGUGCAAUUGCACCACUACCAGAUGGACCUGCGUUGUAUUAGCUAGUAGGUGAGGUAACGGCUCAUCUAGGCGACGAUACAUAGCCGACCUGAGAGGGUGAUCGGCCACACUGGGACUGAGACACGGCCCAGACUCCUACGGGAGGCAGCAGUAGGGAAUCUUCGGCAAUGGACGAAAGUCUGACCGAGCAACGCCGCGUGAGUGAAGAAGGUUUUCGGAUCGUAAAGCUCUGUUGUAAGAGAAGAACGGGUGUGAGAGUGGAAAGUUCACACUGUGACGGUAUCUUACCAGAAAGGGACGGCUAACUACGUG
rnacentral:rRNA from 1 species